rnacentral:rRNA from 1 species
GCAGUAGCCGCGGUAAUACAGAGGGUGCGAGCGUUAAUCGGAUUUACUGGGCGUAAAGCGUGCGUAGGCGGCUAAUUGAGUCGGAUGUGAAAUCCCCGAGCUUAACUUGGGAAUUGCAUUCGAUACUGGGAAGCUAGAGUAUGGGAGAGGAUGGUAGAAUUCCAGGUGUAGCGGUGAAAUGCGUAGAGAUCUGGAGGAAUACCGAUGGCGAAGGCAGCCAUCUGGCCUAAUACUGACGCUGAGGUACGAAAGCAUGGGGAGCAAACAGGAUUAGAUACCCCUGUAGUCCCUGUCUCUUAUAC